AAAUCUCAUUUUAGUUUUUGUCUUGUUUGUGUAUAUUUUUUUUGUUUCGUUAUCUACCUUAUGAAGUGGGACAUGUUACCCAAAAUAUGUGCUCUAUACACCCGAGGCAGUUCUUCCUGAUUUCAAUCUAAGUACUUGCCACAUGCAAAAAUGUAACAGAAGACAAGCUUAGUCAAGGCUUCUUACGUGGAAUACCCAACCAAAAAGUAAACAAAGCGCACACAGCUCGAGAAGUGUCACCCAAAAUGAGCUGUCAGAGCGGAGGGGUGGGGUAUUUAGACGUGGCAUUAGUGAGCGCUCAGCUGAAGAAACAAGACGGAGACGGAGACGGAAAAGGAGAGGAAACUAUGCACAACAGAUGCUAGUUCAGAUGCAUGCACAGUGGAGCAAAUUUGAUAAGCUAGGAGUUCAGUAUCUUUAGCUGCCAGUGGCAGCUAUGGCCUUCGACAAGGACAUGGGCUGGGCUUUAAAGUCAGCUCCUCGCUGUUCAAUUACUACUUGGGCAUAUUUAUAUAAAGGUCACUAAAAAAGAAUGAAGGGCUUAGAAAGUCUGUAUGUUGGGUUUUAAUUCGAAGUUCGGUGUUCCAUAAGCCAAAAAAAAGCCACGUGGACCAUAAUAAUAUACAUCAUACUCAACAGAU